UACAGAGGUCUCAAGCGUUGUUCGGAUUCAUUGGGCGUAAAGGGCGCGUAGGCGGCGGGGUAAGUCGGGUGUGAAAUCGCUCGGCUCAACUGGGCGGGGUCAGCGGAUACGGCGUAGCUGGAGCAAGCUAGGGGGCAAUGGAAUUCCCGGUGUAGUGGUGGAAUGCGUAGAUAUCGGGAGGAACACCAGUGGCGAAGGCGGUUGCCUGGAGCUUUGCUGACGCUGAGGCGCGAAAGCGUGGGGAGCGAUCCGG
rnacentral:rRNA from 1 species